AAGUGAAAAUGCAAACAAAUAACACACAUUUAUUUCACACUAUUUCUCUGCAGACUUCAUCGCAAAAUCCACACAGGACUGAGGCAGAAAAGGCUCCAAUGUCUUGUAUGUUCUUGCAACGCUGUCAAUCAAAUACUGGUUCCACCGUUCAGAAAGUUCCUCCAAUCAUCAUGCAGAAGCCCAGCGUACGUGUCCGCCCACUGAUUCAUUGACCCCCAGAGAAGCUGAGCUUCCCUGGAUGUGAUGAAAAACCCAUAGAGAACAACUAAAGCUGAGCUUCCAGGGGUUUUAAUGCGGAGGCUGCUACAGGAAUACGAAAAUCACGAACCGGUCGAAGAACAUGCUGUCCUGGUACUGGAUGAAGGGCUCUCCACUCAGGUGUUUGUGCAGCAGCAGCACAUGCACCGUGGGAGAAAAUCAGAGCUCAUCAGCAGCAGCCACAGUAAACAGC